GACUGUACAGAAGCAAUAACGACAACAAACAUUACAAGAGAAUAUCGGUAAAUAGCGGCAUCAAGUCGCGACAGCGUUCACUCAACCGGAAGUUCAUUUGUGAACGUAUGAGCAGAGUGAUUAUCCCAUAUUAUCCCACUUCGGUUAUAGAGGAUCAAGGCUGAGAUUAUGCAUGUGUGGAGGAGGGAUAGUGGAUAUACUGGAAAAAGAAUGUUGGACCUGAGGGGGCAGCAAUACGCCUUUUGUUGAGUCUGCCGGAAAUCCAAGAAGAAGACGCAGCAGCAGUCGAAGAAGAAGAAGAACCGUAAACAAACUAAACUGAGGCGGCGUUUGUGUAUAGUUUUUAGGUUUUAACAGAAGAUGGAGGCACUCAGCAGACGGGCUCUGGACCGGAUUUACUCCGCGGUAUUGCUGGCAGUCGUGGUUUUGUCCUGGUCUUACGUGAUCUACGCCAGCAGGAUCGCCUCCGUUUGGCUGCUGGAACAGAGGACCCGUCGUUGAGGCAAGACUGACCGUGCGUCGGAGUGCAGGCGUACAGGCUGAUGGACCCCUUUAAGCCCUCGUUCCAAAGGUUCAGACCUGAACAUAUGGCGACUGCUCAGGUAGGAGAGGAUUGAAGCGGCUGAAAGCACCAGAGGUUUCCAGGAGGUCAGAUCUGAAAGGAGACGACAGAAACAACCAAAAACUGGUUUAAAAACUGGAAAAGACGGCGUAAUGAGAGACAUAAUGAAGACGAGAUCCGAACGUGAGUGGGUCCUAUGGGGACUGCAUUUAGCCCACAACACAGUAAAACACCACAACACCCACUCUGAUACUUUAUGUUGUAAUUACUGCUGAGUAAUUUAGAGUAAUUGAACUAUCGAAAGCUGGAUUAAUGACUUCUUGGGCAGUCAAACCACAUUUCUCUCUUUAAUUGAGACUGCAUUUUUAUACGUUGUCCCACAUCUGUCUCACAUUUUGACUUCUUCUGCACUUUUCUAAAGUGUGGCUUUUACCCAGUGCAUAUCAAGGGAAGGCUUUUUUAUAUGUGUCAAAUAAAGAUUAGCCUGUUUAAUGUUGUGAAUGUUACAAAUUACCAGAAAGUCAUAAGAGUUUCACAUUUUAGUGAUUAUGAUUGGAAGCACCACAAAUGAAAUGGAGUGUCAGUAUACACUGAUAAAUAAUGUUUUUGUUGUAGUUGUUUUGAUUUUGCGCGGGAGCAAGUCUGGUGUGAAGUUACACGGUAUGCUGUGUCACAUCUGACUAAAAAUAGCUAAACUAUAUGUCAAUAAAAAGUAUACCAAUCUAUGGAUACAUCACUACUGACACCCACAGACAGUUACAGUUGGAACAGCAGGAGUAUGUAAAGACUAUCACAUGAGUUUUCUUUAAAUCUUAUUAUAUUUACUUAAAAAGAGUUGGGAAAAUUGCAUUCACAUAUAUUGGACUACCUCCCAGCAUUUUUAACACUUUGUCCCGCACUUACACAUAUAGUUUGUUGGGAUCUGGUCAGCCAAUCAGGAAUCUGUAUUUUUUGUCUUAUAAUCACAAUAAAAAUGCUCCAACAACAUAAACGGGGUCCAAUUAGCUCAGGUGAAGCUUAGCCGCCUGUGUCACCAUCCACCUGUCAGUCAAAGAGGCCACGCCCCAAUAAUGCAAACUUUAAACCUUAAUAUAAUUUAAACAGAUGACUUAUAAAAAAUUCACACUCCCUUAGAGUUAUUAAGAAGAGGGGAAUUAGCUAUAGGGUUCAAAACCUUUAUUGUAGCAGGGUGUAAAUAUGUUUGUUUGUCUUGUAAAGUCAGAUGUUUUAACACAGUCACUCUAGUGGACAUUAGAGGAACUGCAGGCUUCACAUUCACAAAGUUAUUUAUUCAGUACAUAUAAUUCUAUAACUAGACACUGCGGCUGAAUCACCAAAAAGUUUUCUGCAGUUUUUUUUAAAUGUUUGUUUGUUUUUUAAAAUUCAAUUUAAACUCCCAAGUGUGAACUUCCCUAAGGUCUAAGUGUGUCUUUAACAUUGGGAAACCUGAUGGUCUCAUUUUUUUUUGUUUGUAGUUUAAUAUUACCUGAUCUACCUCUAAAUUAAUGUAAAAGCAAUAAAAAACAAGUAUCUGGUCAUUUUUCUGUACAUUUCAACAUUAAAGAUUAGUUUCUUCAGCUCAUGUGUGUUGAGAUGCUUCAUUUUCAUGCCACCAGGGUUGAACAGAUUUAUUUUAAACAGAAGCGGGGAUAAUAACGGAGACGUGUAUCCUCUGAUGUAUUCAGUAAAUAAACCUCAGACACACACACACACGGGAGGUUGAUUUGGAAGGAAGAGGUUCGCUCUUUGAUGUGUGCCCUCAGAUAUGUAAAUGCUCUUAACAGAAUGGGUGAGUGAGGGCAAGUGAGGUAAGGAGAGAAUGAGAAGCAGAGCGAGAGAGAGAGGGGGUUCUCUUUAUGUAAAUACUCAUUCUGUUAUCAAAAACCACUUCAAGCACACACACACCUUCUGUCAUCUGUAAUUAAAAUCCUGCUCAUCGUGUCUCCAUCUGCUCUCAUGUUUGGGGCCCUGAGACCUUUUCAUGGAAAAUUAAAAACAUUGAUGGGAAUGUGGGCACGAUCCCACCUGCCAGAAAGAUCCAGAGCCCCCUGGAAACCACUGGAAAUAUGUGAUAAAUGUGAGGGGGGUGCAUAAGGGUCUCCUAGGAACUAUAAGUGGCAUCUAGAGUCUAAACAGAGUCGUUCUCAGUUAGGUAAAACACUUGUUG
ensembl:lncRNA